CUGGAUAUAUAGAAUCUCAUGCAGAUAUUUCGAACCAAGCUUGCUUGAGUGAGAAAUAUCUAUAUGAGAUUCAGGCAACCAUGAGGAAGUAGCUCGAUAGAGCGGAUUCCGAAUGGUUGUAGGAUUGCGAGAGUAACGCAGUUACGUAGCAAUCCGUAUAUACAG
rnacentral:sRNA from 1 species